UACAGAGGUCUCAAGCGUUGUUCGGAUUCAUUGGGCGUAAAGGGUGUGUAGGUGGCGCCGUAAGUCGGGUGUGAAAUUUCGGAGCUUAACUCCGAAACUGCAUUCGAUACUGCGGUGCUUGAGGACUGGAGAGGAGACUGGAAUUCAUGGUGUAGCAGUGAAAUGCGUAGAGAUCAUGAGGAAGACCAGGUGGCGAAAGGCG
rnacentral:rRNA from 1 species